UACGUAGGGGGCAAGCGUUGUCCGGAUUUAUUGGGCGUAAAGAGCGUGUAGGCGGCCAGGUAGGUCAGCUGUGAAAACUCGAGGCUCAACCUCGAGACGCCGGUUGAAACCAUCUGGCUAGAGUCCGGAAGAGGAGAGUGGAAUUCCUGGUGUAGCGGUGAAAUGCGCAGAUAUCAGGAAGAACACCCGUGGCUAAGGCGGCUCUCUAGUACGGUACUGACGCUGAGACGCGAAAAGCGUGGGGGAGCGAACAGG
rnacentral:rRNA from 1 species